rnacentral:antisense_RNA from 1 species
GCUGACGAGUGAAACGAGGCUGCGAUCUUUUGAUCUCCGCUUGAGACUCAAGUGAACGCGGAAAGAUCGCAGCCUCGUUUCACUCGACAGC